AUAUAAAUUAUAAAUUUUCAAUAUAAUAUGUAUGAAAUUGAAUAUAAAUAUUUCAAAUUAUGACCCGUUACUCAGUAGAAAGUUUUCUUAAAUCUAUUUUUCACCGUUAUAAUAUUUUUUUAUGUAUUGAAUAGUUUAUAUUUGUUUUUAAAAAUUCAAAUUAUGGCAUAUGCCAAAAAACUCUAAUUUUUUUUUAUAAUGAUGAUAUUAUUUUUCCGCAAAAAUAGAAUCAUAUAAAGAUGAGAAGUGAACUAUAAUAAUUAAUAAAAAAUUAAUA
rnacentral:sRNA from 1 species